GGGCGCCGGGGCCGCCGUGCGCGGGGGUCUCUCAAGUAACAAAACACAAAUCACAACAAAACAAACGCUGCGCAACGUGAAAAGCCAGGGCGCUUGCCAUUGCUGCAGCUGGAAGGAGUAUCGCUUCCCUUCCAAGAUUGCUGUGGUCCAGGAUUGCGUUGGGAGCAGCUGAAACACAAGGCCUCCAUCUAUUGCUGUCAGCGUUUUGCUGCUGUGUUUGAUCCAAAUGUGUGCUAACCACAGUCGCUGCUGCCAAAACCAAACACCACCACCCCCCGACAUACAUAUCUAUCCUUAUUCUCAAAGUUCUCUUUCCACAUGUGUUUGCACCAGAAAACGAGAUGUGGGAGAAGUGUGCUGAAAAUUCUUGCUGCUAAUACUUAGAAAAAGAAACUUUAUGCCUGAGCAGAGGGUUCAUGUGUGAGCCCCUGAGACUUAAAAGCCGUGAAUGUAAUGUUGCGUGUACCACCAGAGCUAGCUCAGGAGUCCCUAAAGGAUGAUCCUUUAGCAUUCAGGAAGCAGUACAGAACAAAUGGUGUGGCUCUUGGGGAUGGCUCUGUGCAGGGAUGGGAGUUUGACUCCGUGGUCCUUGUGGGUCCCUUCCAGCUCAGCGUAUUCUGUGAUUCAAUGAUUCUUACUCGUUCUUAGCCUUGCUCUUUUGCAGGCACUGCAGUCUUUCACAGCAUGAAUGGACAUCAUUAUUUGUUUCCUUCAAUUCUGCAACGCGAGUAGUCUAUGCUGAGCUUGUGCCUGCAGGAGUGUGCUUGGAGGUUCUGUUCAAGUCCCAGAGCUCUGAUAUUGCUGAGAUUCUGUCAUUUCCAGUGAGCUUGGGCCUCUCUCCAAGCAGAAGAAUCUUUACUAAUGUUCUACACCAAAAAGACCCCAAGUCCUCUUUAAAAACUUCUCAGGACAUUUAUUGAAUUAGUACUCUUCCAAAAAGAGUCAGAUGAGAACAAAGCCAUAGGUCUUAUUUCAAACAAAUAUUGUUUCUUGGCCUGCUGCAGUUGAAGUCCAUGGAAAAAAACAGGUGCCUGUGGUCAAACAGAAAGAUGCCUGGUGGGAUUAGCUGCUUCCAAGACUAGAUGGGUUUGAGUAGGAGAUAAAGGUAAGUUGGGACUACAAUUUCAUUUGUAAUUCAAUUUUCAUUUUCGAGGCUGUUUCCAAGCAGCCUUGUUGUUCUUGAAUUUAAUUAAGUUCACCAUCUCAGAUAUGAAUCCUUCAUAGCCUUGGAGGUUCUGGACUUGGCUCUCCCAGGGUGGAUCCAUUCCAGGUUCAGUGUUGAUUAAAGAACCCAUGCAAUGACACCUCAGCCCUGCGGUGAGCUGUUCCUGUACAUCACUAGCAGUGUGACAGUAGUCUGUCUUCCACUCUGAUGUUCUGAGUCCCCACUGGAACGAGCUUGGUAGUGAGAGCUCAGCAGCACUGAAUUGCCUGCCAUCCAGAGGAGCUGCUGCAUGAGCGAACAGCUCACAUUUGCUGAUAGUGAGAAGCAGGACUGCCCUCCUCGUGCCUCCCACUGCGAUCAGAUCUGCCGCUGUUGCAGAGCAGCACAGCCUGCACUUCCUUAUGAACAUCAAAGCAUGAGCAUCAUAGAAGCAUAGAAGGUGUUUUGGAUUUGGAGCAGUGCAGUUUCUGGAGAACAGAAGAAUGGCUUAGAUCAAUUCAAUUACACAAAAAAGGUGCUUAUGUGCUUAAUAAAGUCAUCUAAUGAAAUGAGAGAUGAGAGGCUCUCUCAAUUCAUUAAACCACUUCCUUUUGAAAGAC